rnacentral:lncRNA from 1 species
GACCUUCGUUAUUUUAAGUCUUCAUUAAUCUUGUUUUCACACAACUGUUAAGCGCUAAGAGUCCUCUGGGAUACGAUACUUGGUCUUACCAUUUUAUAUUACUUGUGCGACUCGGUACAUUUGUCGAUUUGCCCUAACAAGUUUUUGGCGCCGUUGCCAGGGACUCACGGUUUAAGCUAUUCUAUUUGUGUGAAUCUUGAUUAAUUUUGGCUUUAUUUUAUUUUAUUUUAUUUUUCCCAUUUUUAUUUUUUUCAAAUCCCUAAUUUCCAUUUUUGUUUUAUUUUAUUUUAUUUUAUUUGUACUAAUAAUAUUUUCUAGGAUUUUGUGUUUUGUUUAUGCAGGAUUGUGCUAAAACCAGGAGAAAAAAUUUUGAACCUCUUCUUAAAGGACUUGAGACCAGCAGAAGGCCAAGGUCAAGCAAAUUAUCUAGAGAGACCUCUCUAGAGAUAA